rnacentral:sRNA from 1 species
UCCCCAAGAUACCGGCUACGUUGCCUCGU